rnacentral:rRNA from 1 species
UACGUAGGGUGCAAGCGUUAAUCGGAAUUACUGGGCGUAAAGCGUGCGCAGGCGGUUUUGUAAGUCUGUCGUGAAAUCCCCGGGCUCAACCUGGGAAUUGCGAUGGAGACUGCAAGGCUAGAAUCUGGCAGAGGGGGGUAGAAUUCCACGUGUAGCAGUGAAAUGCGUAGAGAUGUGGAGGAACACCGAUGGCGAAGGCAGCCCCCUGGGCAAGAUUG